AACGAACGCUGGCGGCGUGCCUAACACAUGCAAGUCGUGCGAGAAAGUUCCUUCGGGAGCGAGUAAAGCGGCGCACGGGUGAGUAACACGUAGGUAACCUGCCCCCCAGUCUGGAACAACUAGAGGAAACUCUAGCUAAUGCCGGAUGAGACCACGAUCCCUUCGGGGUUGCGGCCAAAGAUGGCCUCUACUUGUAAGCUAUCGCUGAGGGAUGGGCCUGCGGGCCAUUAGCUUGUUGGUGAGGUAACGGCUCACCAAGGCUGUGAUGGCUAGCUGGUCUGAGAGGAUGACCAGCCACACUGGGACUGAGACACGGCCCAGACUCCUACGGGAGGCAGCAGUGGGAGUAUUGCGCAAUGGGCGAAAGCCUGACGCAGCGACGCCGCGUGGGUGAUGAAGGCC
rnacentral:rRNA from 1 species